GUGCUCGCUUCGGCAGCACAUAUACUAAAAUUGGAACGAUACAGAGAAGAUUAGCACGGCCCUGCACAAGGAUGACAUGCAAAUUCAUGAAGCGUUCCAUAUUUUA
rnacentral:snRNA from 1 species